UGUCGAGUUCCAGACUCAAAUGAAAAACACACAAAGACGCGACAAAACAACGGGGUUAAAACAUGAAAAAACUUUUUUUUUUCUUUGAGACUGAAAGCAACAACCACAGUCUCACUACUGCUUCAGAGUUUCGACGAAAAGUAAAAACCACGGGAGGAGAGCAGGCUGUGGGAAGUUAUCGGGAAAAAUUUGGGUUUCUUCAGUCUUCUUCUCUUUUCUUUUCCGAAUCGGAGGAGGCCGAGGGUUUCAGUGGAAGAGGACGCUGGACCGCUUGCAGGUUGUACUGGGAUCCAGAUGCGAGCAGAAAAAGCCCUGGUGGACACCCAGGAGUGAGAGCAAGUUCCGGGGGACAAAGACCUGGAGAUCAGGAACACCAGGGGUGGAGCGUGGAGCAGGGGCUUCCAACCAACCCAGGAGCUCUCUCCCACUUUAAUGUUUAGACUGGAGGAAGCCGCGCUUGAAAAUCAGGACUGGAGCUGAGGGUGGAGCUACACGGUGGCAUAACAUGCGGCUCCACUCAUUCUGUGUGACUGCGGCUGCUGCAGGGGAAGCCAGGGGCUGCUGAGGAGCAGGAGAAGGAGGAGGAUGCUGGAGCUGUGUAUGCAUGGGAGAGCGUGGGCCCGGCGCUCCUCUCAGCGGGCCAACAAAAGGGGAAGAGGUGAUGGGAAUGCAUGGGUCAGUGGGGAUAGACCGGGAACAGACUGAGCAUCAAG